AACACAGUAACUGUAACCAAGGGGAGGUUGAAACCAAGCUAAAACACAGUAACUGUAGCCAAGGGCAGGUUGAAACCAAGCUAAAACACAGUAACUGUAGCCAAGGGCAGGUUGAAACCAAGCUAAAACACAGUAACUGUAGCCAAGGGCAGGUUGAAACCAAGCUAAAACACAGUAACUGUAGCCAAGGGCAGGUUGAAACCAAGCUAAAACACAGUAACUGUAGCCAAGGGCAGGUUGAAACCAAGCUAAAACACAGUAACUGUAGCCAAGGGCAGGUUGAAACCAAGCUAAAACACAGUAACUGUAGCCAAGGGCAGGUUGAAACCAAGCUAAAACACAGUAACUGUAGCCAAGGGCAGGUUGAAACCAAGCUAAAACACAGUAACUGUAGCCAAGGGCAGGUUGAAACCAAGCUAAAACACAGUAACUGUAGCCAAGGGCAGGUUGAAACCAAGCUAAAACACAGUAACUGUAGCCAAGGGCAGGUUGAAACCAAGCUAAAACACAGUAACUGUAGCCAAGGGCAGGUUGAAACCAAGCUAAAACACAGUAACUGUAGCCAAGGGCAGGUUGAAACCAAGCUAAAACACAGUAACUGCAGCCAAGGGCAGGUUGAAACCAAGCUAAAACACAGUAACUGUAGCCAAGGGCAGGUUGAAACCAAGCUAAAACACAGUAACUGCAGCCAAGGGCAGGUUGAAACCAAGCUAAAACACAGUAACUGUAGCCAAGGGCAGGUUGAAACCAAGCUAAAAGACAGUAAGUUCAGUUACUUUACCGUGGAUUCACAGUAACUUGUUGCAGUUACUGCUAAAACGACCCCCAUUUUCUCCUGAACUCAAUACACUAGAAGCAGGAUACUUGUCCACGUGAUUAAGCAUGUAUGUAAAUGCAACAAAAAUGACAUUAACUCAUUUUUGACGAAAUUAGCAAUUACUGUCUUUGUGCUUGGGAGGGCAUUUCUGAUGUCCAGAAUAUUAUUCGCGGUCACAGGAAAUGAUGGCGGAGACAUAAUGUACAAACAAAGUUAAGAUCAGCGUGGAAAAAAAAUCUCUUCAAUGAUCUCUUCAUUAAAAAAUGUUUGUCUCUUAAUUUCAAUUAUUGAUAUAUACCGAUUGAUUUCCAACCCUAUCCCACAGCUACCAAAACAAGAUACAGGGCUGAUAUAGAGACAUGGCUCACACAGACAAAAGAGAUAGAGAGGGGUGUGAGAUAGAGAUGGAGAGGUAGAGACAAAGAGAGAAAGGAGAGGGUGGGGGGUGAGAGAGAGAUAAAUAGAGUAAGAGGGGGUGAGAGGGAGAGAGAGAGAGAGGGGUGAGAGAGAGAUGGAGAGGUAGAGACAGAGAGAGAGAGGGAGGGGUGAGAUAGAGAUGGAGAGGUAGAGACAGAGAGAGAGGGGUGAGAUAGAGAUGGAGAGGUAGAGACAAAGAGAGAAAGGAGAGGGUGGGGGGUGAGAGAGAUAGAGUAAGAGGGGGUGAGAGGGAGAGAGAGAGAGAGUGAGAGGGGGUGAGAGAGAUGGAGAGGUAGAGACAGAGAGAGAGAGGGAGGGGUGAGAGAGAGAUGGAGAGGUAGAGACAGAGAGAGAGAGAGGGAGGGGUGAGAGAGAGAUGGAGAGGUAGAGACAGAGAGGGGUGAGAGAUGGAGAGGUAGAGACAAAGAGAGAGAGAGGGAGGGGUGAGAGAGAGAUGGAGAGGUAGAGACAGAGAGGGGUGAGAGAUGGAGAGGUAGAGACAAAGAGAGAGAGAGGGAGGGGUGAGAGAGAGAUGGAGAGGUAGAGACAGAGAGGGGUGAGAGAUGGAGAGGUAGAGACAAAGAGAGAGAGAGGGAGGGGUGAGAGAGAGAUGGAGAGGUAGAGACAGAGAGGGGUGAGAGAUGGAGAGGUAGAGACAAAGAGAGAGAGAGGGAGGGGUGAGAGAGAGAUGGAGAGGUAGAGACAGAGAGGGGUGAGAGAUGGAGAGGUAGAGACAAAGAGAGAGAGAGGGAGGGGUGAGAGAGAGAUGGAGAGGUAGAGACAGAGAGGGGUGAGAGAUGGAGAGGUAGAGACAAAGAGAGAGAGAGGGGGGUGAGAGAGAGAUGGAGAGGUAGAGACAAAGAGAGAGAGAGAGGGUGAGAGGGAGAGAGAGAGAGAGCGAGGUGAGGAAGAAGGAGAAGGAGAGAGCCUGUCUCUGUAUCGUUAGGUGCUUAUCACUCCUCAGUUUCUUCUGGUCUCAGUUUGGCUCAUGGUGUUGUUGGUGGGCUCGGCACUCUACUGUGUAAAUCUGUAAGGAACAACAGUGUAAAUCUGUAAAGAACAACAGUGUAAAUCUGUAAGGAACAACAGUGUAAAUCUGUAAAGAACAACAGUGUAAAUCUGUAAAGAACAACAGUGUAAAUCUGUAAAGAACAACAGUGUAAAUCUGUAAAGAACAACAGUGUAAAUCUGUAAAGAACAACAGUGUAAAUCUGUAAGGAACAACAGUGUAAAUCUGUAAGGAACAACAGUGUAAAUCUGUAAGGAACAACAGUGUAAAUCUGUAAAGAACAACAGUGUAAAUCUGUAAGGAACAACAGUGUAAAUCUGUAAAGAACAACAGUGUAAAUCUGUAAAGAACAACAGUGUAAAUCUGUAAAGAACAACAGUGUAAAUCUGUAAAGAACAACAGUGUAAAUCUGUAAAGAACAACAGUGUAAAUCUGUAAAGAACAACAGUGUAAAUCUGUAAGGAACAACAGUGUAAAUCUGUAAAGAACAACAGUGUAAAUCUGUAAAGAACAACAGUGUAAAUCUGUAAAGAACAACAGUGUAAAUCUGUAAAGAACAACAGUGUAAAUCUGUAAAGAACAACAGUGUAAAUCUGUAAGGAACAACAGUGUAAAUCUGUAAAGAACAACAGUGUAAAUCUGUAAAG